rnacentral:rRNA from 1 species
UAGGGAAUCUUCCGCAAUGGACGCAAGUCUGACGGAGCAACGCCGCGUGAGUGAAGAAGGAUUUCGGUUCGUAAAACUCUGUUGUUAGAGAAGAACAGCGCAUAGAGUAACUGUUAUGCGUGUGACGGUAUCUAACCAGAAAGCCACGGCUAACUACGUGCCAGCAGCCGCGGUAAUACGUAGGUGGCAAGCGUUGUCCGGAUUUAUUGGGCGUAAAGCGAGCGCAGGCGGUCAAUUAAGUCUGAUGUGAAAGCCUCCGGCUCAACCGGGGAGGGUCAUUGGAAACUGGUUGACUUGAGUGCAGAAGAGGAGAGUGGAAUUCCAUGUGUAGCGGUGAAAUGCGUAGAUAUAUGGAGGAACACCAGUGGCGAAGGCGACUCUCUGGUCUGUAACUGACGCUGAGGUUCGAAAGCGUGGGUAGCAAACAGG